rnacentral:rRNA from 1 species
GACGAACCGUGCGAACGUUGUUCGGAAUCACUGGGCUUAAAGGGCGCGUAGGCGGAUUCUCAAGUUCGGGGUGAAAUCUUUCGGCUUAACCGGAAAACAGCCUUGAAUACUGGGAGUCUCGAGUGAGGUAGGGGCAGCUGGAACUUCCGGUGGAGCGGUGAAAUGCGUUGAUAUCGGAAGGAACACCUGAGGCGAAGGCGGGCUACUGGGCCGAUACUGACGCUGAUGCGCGAAAGCCAGGGGAGCGAACGGG